UCCUUUCAACCAGGGCGGCAAAUUCUGUGGAGUUAUCGUCAAACUUCAGGACACAAGGACACAGAGACCUGCCAACAGAGCCAAAAAGAUGCCCAGGGUCAUCAUUCUGAAUGAGCCAUUCAGAAGCUCUGGUCUGGGCUUCGAUGUAUUUCUUUUUCAGUUGAAGGCAUCAGGAAUCUCGGUCUGGGUCAAAGCAAGCCACAGGAGACAUCCAUGGACUUGCUCUUGGAAACAGGCUCGCCACCCUAGUGAUUUCAGAGGCUGAGGAAGAUGACCACGAGUUUGAAGCAUCUUAACAAGAUACUGUUCUCAACGAGAAAAGAAAAGCGGGGUGUGGGAUGUGGCACAGUUGUUGAGGUCACCUACCGUGAGAGAGUCACCCAGGGCUCCAAUCACCUUGAUGUCAGCCGGCCUCAGCCUGUGAACUAAAAAGCAAAUCUCAGGUGAAUGGAGAAUGGGGAUUUCAGG